rnacentral:rRNA from 1 species
CCUACGGGUGGCUGCAGUGGGGAAUAUUGGACAAUGGGCGAAAGCCUGAUCCAGCCAUGCCGCGUGUGUGAAGAAGGCCUUCGGGUUGUAAAGCACUUUCAGUGGGGAAGAAAGCCUUGGGGCUAAUACCCUCGAGGAAGGACAUCACCCACAGAAGAAGCACCGGCUAACUCCGUGCCAGCAGCCGCGGUAAUACGGAGGGUGCGAGCGUUAAUCGGAAUUACUGGGCGUAAAGCGCGCGUAGGCGGUCUGAUAAGCCGGUUGUGAAAGCCCCGGGCUCAACCUGGGAACGGCAUCCGGAACUGUCAGGCUAGAGUGCAGGAGAGGAAGGUAGAAUUCCCGGUGUAGCGGUGAAAUGCGUAGAGAUCGGGAGGAAUACCAGUGGCGAAGGCGGCCUUCUGGACUGACACUGACGCUGAGAUGCGAAAGCGUGGGUAGCAAACAGGAUUAGAUACCCCUGUAGUC